rnacentral:piRNA from 1 species
UGAAGUUUGACAGCUCUCUGGUCCGUGGU